ACUGGCGGCCCUAGCGCGGUGGUCCCACCUGACCCCAUGCCGAACUCAGAAGCGAAACGCCGUAGCGCCGAUGGUAGUGUGG
rnacentral:rRNA from 1 species